CUACCUUGAUAUUUUUUUUGUUGAUAGCAGAUCCAUCCUGGCCAUUCUACACGCACGAGUAGUCUAUUUUGACAUCCUAAUUUUUUUCCUGCUAUGCAUAAUUAUGGAGAAAUUGUAGGGUGUAGCAACGACCUUUCCGGCAACAGUCUAUUAAUUUUUCUUCUGAUGUUAAUGUUUCUUGGAGAACUUAGGCCCUGUUUGUUUGGGCUUCUACUUCAGCUUUUGGUGCUUUUAGAAAUCUCAAAAGCACUUCUCAUCUUCAUGUGCUUUUGAGAUUGCUAGAAGCACCAAAAGCUGAAGCAGAAGUCCAAACAAACAGGGCCUUAGUGUACUACUAAAUCUGUAGUUACCAAAGUUCAAUGCAAUGAACACCUGAAACGAGUGUAUUAUUUACAGUACUUGGCUAAUACAGUAAAGAAAAGAGCUUGAUAAACUGUAACUCCAUGCAUGCUUAGUAUUGUAAAUUUGAGGACUAAAUUUGCGAAGUAUGGGCCCAUUGAAGAACCCGGUGGAUAUGCUAUACAUGGAAUUUGUAUGACCUUACAUUCACCAAAGUUGGGUUGGAAUUCUGAUGGCUCUUCUUCCCUUCUUUUUUUACCUAGAUUCUUGUUUAAUAGGUUGUUGCUUAUAUCUUCAUAAUGUGUGUUAAUCUGAAUAUUAG